UACGUAGGCAGCGAGCGUUGUUCGGAGUUACUGGGCGUAAAGAGUGCGUAGGCGGUUUUCUAAGUUUGGUGUGAAAUCGCUCGGCUCAACUGGGCGGGGUCAGCGGAUACGGCGUGGCUGGAGCAAGCUAGGGGGCAAUGGAAUUCCCGGUGUAGUGGUGGAAUGCGUAGAUAUCGGGAGGAACACCAGUGGCGAAGGCGGUUGCCUGGAGCUUUGCUGACGCUGAUGCGCGAAAGCGUGGGGAGCGAUCCGG
rnacentral:rRNA from 1 species